rnacentral:lncRNA from 1 species
CUUCCCAUUCCCAGUGCCCCGUUUCUGGCGGCGGGACCCCCGGCAACUGUUGUGGCUGCUGUCCCGCUGCCGCCGGGGUGCUGCUGACGGCGGAGCCCGCGGCGGCCCGUGAGGUAAGGAGACGGCGGCGGGGCCGCUCUGGCCUCCCCUCCGCGCGGGUCUCAGCGCCCCCCUUUUCGCUUUGGUCUUCCUCGGGGGGGUCGCGGCCGCCCCUCGUUUCCUGUCGCUCCUGCGGGGUCGCUGGGGACUCCGGCGGCCCGGGGCGGGAGUGGGUCUGCCUCGUCUCUCUCAGUCGGUCUGCGGCUGUGCGGCGUCCGGCCGAAGGGGUCCGGGGUCCGGGCCUUGGGGCCCCGUGCACGGCUGCUCCCGGGCCUGCGCUCCUCAGCCCGAUGUCCAGAGCGGCCGGGGUGCCCUGGCUUCGGGCUCCCCGCCUCGGGCUUGCACAGCGCCUGGCGCGGGUUUGGCUGGUCUCGCCCGCCCUUCUCCCUCUGCAGGUGCAAUCGUUUUCCCGCCUGGAGACGUGCGGUCCGCCUCUGCUUCGCUAACUUGUAAGCCUGCUGCAGAGUGCGGCAAGCCGAGUUACCGGGAAAAGUGUAGGCCAGGGUGGUGAACUGUCUUCGUGAUGUUUGGUCACUCGGGACCCCUGUGAAGGACAUUCACGUUAGAUUCGGGAAUCUCUGUAAGCGUGACCUCUGGGCAUGCGGGCGGGGGGGGGGAGGAGGAGGGGGGAAGGGGAGGAGGGGAGCCGGUGCCGGGCCACGGGGCACACUUUUCCAGCGCUAGGGAUAUGUAUUAAUUUCUUAAACUUGCCUGAUCACCUGGUUGCACGUUUUGACAGAUACACACCCGGGACCAGCAGGAUCAGACUCUCCAGAGAAAGAGGCUGGGAUAGGGUUGGGGUUUUUGUCUGUCUGUUUGAAAGAAAUGUCCCAGGUGGCCCUUCUGCUGAGGCAAGAGUGGGAAGUGUGUCGGUCGAGCUCCACUCACUAGGCUUCCUUGUGACCAGCGGCACAAGCGGUACAAGUGGGGUCCCAUUUGUACACACGCUGGGACCAUACAGGGGAACAACCCAGAGGGACUUGGAGCUGUCCCUUGCUCUUCUUGUCGUAAGCAGGUGUGAGCAUAACCAGUCCCAAUAUUGAGGUUGCCUUAGCGAUUCUUCCUAGAGGGAGAGACUAUUAUAGGGCCAUCUUAGUUUUUUGGUUUUUGUUUUUAAAUAUAACUUAUUUUAAACCCGGCUACACCUUUUAUUUCUUUGUCUCUGACAUCUUCAGAUUCUUCUCUACCGGCCUGGGUGGCUCAGUUGGUUGAGUGUCCCACUCUUGGAUUUGGCUCAAGUCACGAUCCCAGGGUCAUGGGAUGAGCCCCAGAUCGGGCUUCAUGCUCAGCGUGGAGCCUGCUUAAGAUACUCUCCCUCUGUGGCCCCUCCCCGGCUCCUGCUGGCUCCCUUUCUCUCUCUGAAAAACAAAUAAACCCGAAAACAAUUCUAAAAAAUUACUCUAUGUGAUUUAGAUAUCCCCUGAAAUCUUGGAGCCUAGCCUCAAGAUCUCAGAGUCUUCACUGAAUUUUUUCCCAUCUCGUUUAUUGUAUAUUCUCAUUCCUCCGUUGAUUAUAUUUCCUAGGUGCCUACCCUGAAUGCCGGCAGAAUCACGUUGAAGUGGUAACUGGUGUCAGCUCCCAGAGAGCUCCAUUGUAAGAGGAGACUAAAAACUAGCACUUACUGAGUGCUUCUCGGGUGCCAGUUACCAUGCUUUUCCUGUGUUGUCUGUAUUCCUGUAGUCUUUGUGGCAACCCGGCGAGGCAGGUGUUCGUAGCUCACCUUGUGGAUGAGGAGCCUGGAGCACAGAGAUGGAAUGACUUGCUCAAAGCCAUAGAGCUGAUGAGAGGUGGGGGAGAUUUUCAGACCCAUACCUGUCUGCCCCCAAAGCCUGCAUUUUCAGCGGGGUCGUUGUGCCGUUUCCCUGAUUGGCAAACAGGCUGUGACAGUGUGGGAGGCUCUGUGCUGGAGAAGUGCAGGGUGUUGUGGGAGAACACAGAAGAGUCACCUGAGGCGGUAUUGGGGGAGAGGGGGUCUGAUAAGCUGUGAAACAGGGUGAGAGCUGAGGGGAUUAUCCAUGUUUGGGGGGCAGGGGGGCAGGAACUAUGCCGUGUGGUUCGAAGGAACAGUGUGCCCAGAUCCUGGGGGUUUCAGAGAGACUCAAUGCCUGUCCUGUUGGAGGAAUCAUAAGUAUGUCCGUCUGGCUGGAGAGGAGAGAAAGAGACCAGAGGUCAGGAAUGAGCCUGAUGAUGAAGGAUCUUGCACACUUCCUGUUCAGGAGAAUGCUUUUUUCCUCAGGGCAUCAGAAAGCCAUUGCAGAGUUUUGAGGAGGGGUGUGAACAAGAGUUUCAUUUGAGAAGCCUCCCCCCACGCCCCUCCUCGGAAGGAUUGAGGGGGGGUGGGGAGAAUGGUGUGCGGAAGCCCUGUCGGGAAGCUUCUGCCUUCAUCUGAGCGGGGAUGGCGGUCUGUACUCAGGUAAUGGCAGUGAGGAGGGGGAGAAGUCGAUGGUCUGAGGGAAAUGUCGCCUGUGGAAUUGCUAGUCCAUGACGGUUGGCCGCAUAGAGGAGGUGAGAGAGAGGGAGGUGAGAGAGGAGGUGACACCUGGGAUUCUUGUGUAUGGUGUCACUGCGGGACACAGAAGUGGAGCAGAUUUGGAGAUUGAGGCAGGUGGCUUUCCCUUCUAGAUGUGCUCGGUGUGACCCACGGGAACCCAAGUGGACAUGGCCAUUGUUCAGCUCGAGGUGCAGAUGUAAAGCUCGGGGCUGUUGUGGGCUUAGGCGUCAGUCUUGGUAUGCGUGAAAUGACCCUGGAGGGUGGCAAACUGAGAGGAGAAGCUGGUCCCAGACACCCUGAGGGACAGCAACACAGAAGGAUGGGCAGGGGAGAGAAGGCGGUGUAGAUGUGACCGGGGUAGUCGGUGUCAAAAUAAAACAGGGACAGAGUGCGUGAGUAGCGGGAGCGAUAGGCGGCGUUCAGUGCUGUGGAGAGGGUGAGUGAGAUGGGCCCGGUGUCCCUGGAAGGUGGCAACGGUGGCAUUCUUGGUGAGAGCAGUAUUCCGGCAUGCGGGACGGGAGCUUAACCGCUUGGGUUCGGGACGGGGGAAAGGGGGGAAAGUGACAGAUACCGUAGGAAGCCCUUCUUGUCAAGUGAAAAAGACAGGUUGUGACGUCAUAGUAAAUUUUGGUGUAACCCGCCGGCAGACUGUGCAAUCACCGAGGUGUAACAAAAAGGACUUUAAGACAGGUGGUGGCACACAGGUGGGUGUCAGGGGAGCACGUGCUGCAAGAUAAAUAAGUCUGGGGAAAUUUCAUCAGCCCUGGAAUUGAGUAUUUUGCAUGAUGGGAGAUCUUAAUUUCCUUCUACGUUUGUGUUGUUUACAAAGACCACAAUUUUUAUAAUUCAGAAUUUGUAAAAUUAAAAAUCACCAUCGGAAGACUGUUAUGGAGCCUUUCUUGUAUUUCUCAAGUCAGUUGGGAGAGACUUGAGCGUAUUAAAAUGCUGAGGAUUGGAGGGGACACUGAAGGUAUGUGGAAGGGGACAGUUGAUGGAGCGGAGUCAAGGGAAGGAAGGAGAGAGAGGGAUCCAGGGCACGUGGGGAGGGAUCAACUUUUGACCCUACGAGGUUGAAGGAAGAGGUGGUCGUAGAUGCAGGUGGAGUUUCAGGGGUUGAGGAGACAGGUUUUGUGUUUGGAAGGAAGGAAGGAGGUGGGGUCCCAGGUUGGGAGAGGAGCAGUGUUGUGGGUUCAGAACCUGAAUGUAGACAGACAUCUGCCUGUGGCUGAACACGCAGUGGCCCGGGGCUAGCUACGGGGUGCCUGCUAGUGUGAGCCAUGAGGGAACGGGGUCUUUUCAAGCAUGACCAAGUGGUAAUGGUUUUGAAGGGAGAAGGGUGCCCGCCUCCCCCCCUCCUGAUGGCAAGGUCAGUGGGACGGGCUGGCCACGUGGCAGUGGCAUUUCCCUCAGUAGAGCUGUGUCUCUGUUGAAGCAGAGGUGGAGAGAAGCUAGGAGAAGGGCUGGGUGUUCCAGUUUGGAAAGGAUGUUCUGGAGGACACGGAGAGGUUUGGAGGGGAGGACAGCAGACAGACAGAGAGAGAGAGAGAGAGAGAGAAAGAAAGAGCGAGAGAGAGAAAUCGGUCAUAUGGAGAUGAGAUUGUGGGAAGUCUGGCUGUGGAGAAGCUUCUGUCUUGAGACGGUUUGGCGGGGACCAAGGAGGUGAGGCCUGGAGGUCACCACAAGGUGGCCAAAGUAAUCAGCCCUGGUUGGAUGGGAUUUCCUUGGGACGCAGUGGAGGCCUGCUCGGUCUCAGUUCUGAGAUCCUGUCUGAUGGAUGGGCACCCACACCUUGGCCUUGGACGACCUGGGCCGUCGGGGGCCCUCCGUGGGUUCCGGGCUGGUAGCGGCGUGCUGGUGGGCGCACAGGCUGCCAGGGCUCUCCUCUGAAGUGUCGCCGUCUCCCCACACUCGGAGACCGUGCCUUCGCCCACAGGGCUGUCUGCAGUUUCUUAAAAAUUGAACAGUCCUCUUAUGCCCUUAGAGUAAUUCUCCCUGGUGGCCUGAACCUGUCCGCUCCCUAAUCUACCUCCUGGUGUUAGUCAUCUCAGAGGGACAUGCGCUUGGUCACAGCCUGUGACUCCCGUGGUUCGUCAUAAGCCCGCCAUGACCGGUCCUCCCCUGCUUUCAGGAAGGGGCCGUGGGACCUGGCGUCUCCAGUCUGUGGCCUGUGCAGACGCGGGGCACGCCGUCCCUCACUGCGGCUUUGGGUUUGUUCUCUUCUCUUCUCUUCUCUUCUCUUCUCUUCUCUUCUCUUCUCCUUCUCUUCUCCUUCUCUUCUCCUUCUCUUCUCCUUCUCUUCUCCUUCUCUUCUCUCUCUCCCUUCCUUUCCAGGACCUCAUUCUUUGUCACCGCCUCUCCUUCCUCCCCCACCUCUUUCCCUCUUCCUGGCCCUUCUCGCCAGCCCUGAAACAGUCUCCGUGGCUCCCACCUUUGGAGACAAAUAGCCUUGCUCCACCCCCAUUCUCUCCUCCUGUCUGGGGUUUCUGCUCCCUUCCGGGCAGCGCGUGAAGAAGCUGUGCACGCUCCCUCAUCUCCUUGCUCUUGAGCUUGCUCUAGUCCGUACUUCGUCCCUGGCACUGCCCUGGGAAUGUCCUCUUUGAGGACACCAAGGACCUCUGUGUCGUCAAGUCCCAGCAGGCACCUGGCCGUCUUGCUCCAUCCCUGGCCACCCUCUGUAGUGAACCAUCUCCUCUCUCGGCUUCUGUGACACCUCUGCCCGGUUCCCUUUCCGCCGCUCAGCCGUUUGGACGCUCUGUGAGUCUGCCCCGGCGCGCAGUCCCCCGUCCAGUACUUUCUUUCUCUUGCCAAGCUGUGCCUGCUGGGGAGCCUCAGAGUUGUUCCUCAGACUGCCGGGUCUCCGGAUACCCCAUGUCUUCCCCAGGCUUCAGGCCUGGUUAUCUAGCUGCUUGGCACUUCCACGUGGAUGCCUGCUAGGUGUCUCGCCCUUGACACCUCGGUAUGCGCGCACGCGCCCUCACCGCCUCCUUCUCCCUCUCCUUCCCGCCUCCCUCCGCAUCCCUAGUCCUUCACGCCUUAGGAAGUGGCACCCGUCGCUUAACCUGGAAACUUUGCCAUCGUCCGUCUUUCUCCCACUCCCCAUCUUAACAUCCGGUUUGUUGGCAAGUUAAGUACUGUCAUUUCACCAUCCACAACAAUCCAGUCAUGGCUCUGACUCCACCGCCACCAUCCUUGUGUGAGCCACCGUGCCCUCCCUCUUGGACUCCUGCGGUAGCUCCCUAGCCCUGCCUUUCCUCCAGUCCAGUCCCCACUGUGGAGCCAGGCUGAUCUUAGGAAAAGCGUAUCAGAUCAUUUCAUUCCCUGCUUUAGUAUUUUCCUUUGCUCUUGGAGUAAAAUCCCAGCUCCUCGUGAGGCAUCCAAGCGCUUGUGUCAUUGCUUUCUGCCUGCCUCUCCGGCCUCGUCUCUGGCCAACUGUGCCUUGCCGUCGAGCUGUGGGCACGCUGGCCUCCCUUCUGUGCUCGGACUCCUUAAGGCCUGCCUCCCCUCAGGGCCUUUGCAUGUGCUUGUGCCUCUGUCUGGAUGAGGCAUGAUGAUUAUCAUUCUCUGUUGCCUCCUUUUCUUUUGUCACUAAUCCGGCGCACUGAGUACAGUGGAAUGAAGUCUGUUUGCUUUCUCUGUCUAGUUUGAACUGGGGAGAAUCUCCUCUUUGGCCGAGUGGGAGCACAUCUCCGAGCUGCUGACUGGCAGACGUGAUGUUUUCCCGGUUGCUGUCGGUGGCCCGGAGACAAAGGACCGGCCGAGGAUGGCAGAACUGGUCGUCGGGGAGAAGCGGUGCGCCAGCUGCCGAGGCGCAUUCUGUCGCCCUGCCUGCCCAGGCACAGGUGGUCAUCUGUGGCGGUGGAAUCAUGGGCACAUCCGUGGCCUAUCACCUCUCCAAGAUGGGCUGGAAGGAUAUUGUCCUUUUGGAGCAGGG